UUGGAGUUGAGAAAAGGAUGGGAGCAUGGGACUGCUUUGUACCAGAGGGAAGAGGAAAGCAAGGGAGAGGAAGGAGGAGAAAGAAAAGGAACGAAAAUAAAGGAAAUGGGAAAGUUAAUAAUUAUGGUUACUCUUAAAGCAAUAGUGAAGAAAGCGGUAGUUGAAGGUCCUAAAAGCGAUAAUGUCGCCGUUUUGAAGUUAGAAACAAGAGUUGAAGGUCCGCGAAGGUGAGGAAGACGGCCAAAUCAAGCUUCUGAGAUAAUUCAUGUUGCCAAAAAAUAUGUGAAUAUUAAGAAGAAGAGAAAGGCAAAAGAAGCAUAAGAAGAACUAGAAGCAGAACCAGAACCUAAUCGGCAAAUAAUUUUAAAAGAUUUUAGUUUGAUUGAUGUUCUAGUGCCUGAUGUUCAUCAACUCCAGGCUCAAGCUAUGAAAGAAAUAGGCACUG